GGAGAUACGUGGGUGGACGCGCUCUCAGAGAUAUAGAGAAGCGCCCAAACUCGGAUUCGGCCCUAUGGGCUGAAAUCGUUGAUAAGAAGGAUGUGAUAGAGGGGAACCUAAAGUGUGAGGCUGAUUAUAAUUACACCUGGGUAGGAAAAGGGUCCUCCCUGACUUUCAAAAACGCUUGGGACUCCGUCAGGAAUACUGAGCCAAUAGACCACUAUGGGGAGGGGGUUUGGACGACUAGUGUAAGAAAAUUCAGCAUAACACUCUGGAGGGCCAGGUGGUCCAAAAUAUCCAUGAGAGCUAACUGGGCGGGUAGAAUGGGAGGGGGGAACACAGACUGCAUAUUAUGUGGGGGGACAUGGGAAUCACAAGACCAUGUCUUCUUCAAAUGCAAGUUCUCCAAGGAUCUAUGGACAUAUAUUUUAAAUGCAAAAUCCAGUUUGAUUAUGUGUGCAGGUCUAUCUUUAGAACAGGUCAUGGCACAGGCAAAUGCAAGGACAAAGAACUCACCAUGCUGGGGCCUGACGUGGACGUACACGGCAGCGAUAGUAUGGGGAAUCUGAACCGAAAGGAACAGGAGAGUGCAUGAGGACAGACGCACGAGCCCACAGGAGAUAGGGAGGAGGACAGUACAGGAUGUCACAGCGACAUUCAAGGUGGACAGCUGGUACAAAGCAAAAGGUACAAGAAGGGAACAGAGAUGGAUGGAUAUAUGGUCCGGAGGUGCCCAGUUGGCGAGAACGUGAAACUUGUUUAAUUCUUCAUAUUUGAUAUUGAGACUGUAAUCGUAUUUUAAUAGGAAAUUGUAUUAAGGGAAACCAAAACUGAGGUAUAUGGUGGGAUGGGGUUCAACUAAAAAUAGAACCCUGUCUUGCCAAAUACUAUAGGAGGGGACAAAUUGGUAAAUGGAAUGACCAAAAAAGUCAUAUCCAUAUAGAGCUUUAUCCUCCAGGGGGUGGACUCUAUUAUUAAAGUAGAAACGAUAUGUGGAAUCACUUAUCUGUAGUGGACCUAAAGGUAAUGGCAGAGUUUUCCCUUGGCAAAGGAAAAGAUGCCUUGGGCACACCAGGGUUUUUACACUCCCCAUUGCCUUAGGUCCACUACGUAAGAACGAUGAGACAUAGAUCGUUCUAGGAAACAUCGAGUCAGUUCCCCAAAGGUUGUGAAGGCCCAAACGAUCGUAAGAUCCGGGGUUGGAACAAUGCGGAGG
rnacentral:lncRNA from 1 species